CCCCUUCACUCGGUUCUCAUUCCUCUCCUUCCUGCCAUCAUGUGAAGAAGGAAGUAUUUGCUUCCCCUUCCACCAUGAUUGUAAGUUUCCUGAGGCCUCUCCAGCCAUGCUGAACUGAAAAUCUAUGCUGAGGAUUUAAUGGAUUACUGCUAACAUCUUCCCCACAGCCAACUAAAGGGCUGAUUCUGAGAUGGGAGCUCACGCACACCACCCCCUUUCAAGAAAAUAUAAUGCAACGCGCUCCGAUGUAAACCCUACGGGCAACGGAUGCCUUCAAAAAGCAUAAGAUAAGAGCAACAACAACAACAACAAACCACCGCCCCCCCCAAAAAAAAUGACCAAAUAGAAAUAAAAUAAAAUAAAAAUAAAAAGAAGCCAUACUACCACCUUGUGGAUCCAGCUCGCAAGAACAUCACCUGCUUAGUUCCAAAACCCCCACCCAACCCCCACCCCAAAUUUCUUAAGUUGGGUCCAAAUGACAGAUCGGGAUCCUCUGUCCUCACUCCCCGCAGACUCGCCCAAGCCCUAGGCUGAAUUCGUGACGCGCGCGCCCAGCACCCGGGCGAGUUGCAAGCCCCGGCGCACCGCAGGGGCCAAAACCCCGCC
rnacentral:lncRNA from 1 species